rnacentral:rRNA from 1 species
AUUGAACGCUGGCGGCAGGCCUAACACAUGCAAGUCGAACGAGUGGCGGACGGGUGAGUAAUGUCUGGGAAACUGCCUGAUGGAGGGGGAUAACUACUGGAAACGGUAGCUAAUACCGCAUACCAUCGGAUGUGCCCAGAUAGGAUUAGCUAGUAGGUGGGGUAAAGGCUCACCUAGGCGACGAUCCCUAGCUGGUCUGAGAGGAUGACCAGCAACACUGGAACUAGGAACCGGUCCAGACUCCUCAGGGAGGCAGCAGUGAGGGAUAUUGCACAAUGGGCGCGAGCCGGAUGCAGCCAUGCGGCGUGUAUGAAGAAGGCCUUCGGGUUGUAAAGUACUUUCAGCAGGGAGGCGUUACCCGCAGAAGAAGCACCGGCUAACUCCGUGCCAGCAGCCGCGGUAAUUC